AGAGCAGUAGCUCAGUGGUAGGGCUCCCGCUUCGAACGCGGGAAGAACUGGAUUCGAUUCCCGCCUACUUUC
rnacentral:tRNA from 1 species